ACAGAGGCACAGUGCCAGUCCGCCGUCGCCCCAAGCCCCCAAGACGCAGAGGCACAGCCGGCCGCUGCCGCAUUCUUCUCCCUCAAGAUGAGCACAUCAUCAAAUGGUAACUAGGGUUUUCUCCUGUCCUGUGCUUUCCUUUUGCUGAACAACUGAAGGCCCUUUGUUUGAUUAGAUUAUGCCAUUUUUCUCAUGUGUGUAGAUGUGGAUCAUAAACGUGCAGUGGUAGAAAUUAUCAUGCCAGACCCUCGCUGUGGAGGAGUUGAUGCUCCAAAUCCAAAAGAGUCCUCAGUUGCCUCAGGUUCUGCUGCCAGUGCUUCCUCGGCUGCUGCAGGUGUUACUGCUACAUCCCUAGCUGAAAAGGCAAUGGCAAAACUGCCUCCAGAGCUUGCUGAACAAGCUGUUGAUGUCAAGAGGAAGGCUCGGUACCGUGACCCAGGAUGGAAUUGUGGGUGGUGGCCAGAUCCCACAAAGAAGGACCUUUGUACAGUGCAUAUUUUGCAAGAUAGUUCCUGCAGACAUCAAGAGGCUCAAGCAACACAUUGCCGGUGGUUAUUGUGAUGUAGAGAACUGUCAAGAUGCACCUCGGAUAGUUAGGAAAGAGUUGGAUGAUUAUCUGAAGAAGAAUUCAAGGACCACUCUUGUUAAUGUGUGUGAAGGAGAGGCAAAUGAAGAAGAGGAACAACAGCCUCAAGAACCAGCAUGUGUGCCUAGUUCGGGGACAAAGGUUAAGCAAACAAAAAAAAGAAUUGCUCAGACAGCCAUCACUUCCACGUCGGAGGCCUCACCGCUCUGGGUCCGCCGCCGCCGCCUCCACCUCCAUGCCGGCAGGUUGCGUCACCCUCCGCGCCUUCGGGACACCUCUGCCCCGCGCCGCCGGGACACCACCUCCGCACCACG
rnacentral:misc_RNA from 1 species